AAUAGAUACCCUGGUAGUCCACGCCGUAAACGAUGAGUGCUAAGUGUUAGGGGUUUCCGCCCCUUAGUGCUGCAGCUAACGCAUUAAGCACUCCGCCUGGGGAGUACGGUCGCAAGACUGAAACUCAAAGGAAUUGACGGGGGCCCGCACAAGCGGUGGAGCAUGUGGUUUAAUUCGAAGCAACGCGAAGAACCUUACCAGGUCUUGACAUCCCAUUGACCACUAUGGAGACAUAGUUUUCCCUUCGGGGACAACGGUGACAGGUGGUGCAUGGUUGUCGUCAGCUCGUGUCGUGAGAUGUUGGGUUAAGUCCCGCAACGAGCGCAACCCUUGUUCUUAGUUGCCAUCAUUUAGUUGGGCACUCUAAGGAGACUGCCGGUGACAAACCGGAGGAAGGUGGGGAUGACGUCAAAUCAUCAUGCCCCUUAUGACCUGGGCUACACACGUGCUACAAUGGACGGUACAAACGGUUGCCAACCCGCGAGGGGAGCUAAUCCGAUAAAACCGUUCUCAGUUCGGAUUGUAGGCUGCAACUCGCCUACA
rnacentral:rRNA from 1 species